rnacentral:rRNA from 1 species
UACGUAGGUGGCAAGCGUUGUCCGGAUUUACUGGGCGUAAAGGGAGCGUAGGUGGAUAUUUAAGUGGGAUGUGAAAUCCCCGGGCUUAACCUGGGGGCUGCAUUCCAAACUGGAUGUCUAGAGUGCAGGAGAGGAGAGUGGAAUUCCUAGUGUAGCGGUGAAAUGCGUAGAGAUUAGGAAGAACACCAGUGGCGAAGGCGACUCUCUGGACUGUAACUGACACUGAGGCUCGAAAGCGUGGGGAGCAAACAGGAUUAGAUACCCUGGUAGUCCACGCCGUAAACGAUGGGUACUAGGUGUAGGGGUUUCGAUACCUCUGUGCCGCCGUUAACACAAUAAGUACCCCGCCUGGGGAGUACGGUCGCAAGAUUAAAACUCAAAG